rnacentral:tRNA from 1 species
AAGGCCUUAGCUUAAUUAAAGUGUCUGGGUUGCAUUCAGAUGAUGUGAGAUAGAAUCUUGCAGGUUUUA